CUCAUACUAGGAACGUGGCAAGGACUCAUAAGGCUGCCUAAGCUGCUGGAGAGAUCAUUUUCAAGCCUUCUCUUGGUCCAAGAUCUGAGCAGUGUGGUGGUCACAGCCACCUGGAGCCUCUGCUGCAGCGCCUCCCUGCUGAGCUCCCCUUUCCAGAGCAGUGGGCUGAAUCCAAAAGGUGCUCUGUAUAUGAGGCAGCAUUCCCAGCCAUGGCAGAAGGUAAAAAAUGCCCAACCUGCACCAAGCCAGCCAACCCUAUCUUUGCUAAGGCACAAGACUCUGAGUCGGACAGGCAUGUUGUGGCCCCAACCCCCCAAGAAACCAUGAUUCCACUGCAGGGAAACCUGACCAGGAGAUAGCACAGAAUAGGAAGAGGCUCUGAGGAUGCAGACUUCAUCCAGCUGACCCCGGGGCCAUUGUACUUUUCAUGUGGGUGUUCACUC